rnacentral:rRNA from 1 species
UACGUAGGGUGCAAGCGUUAAUCGGAAUUACUGGGCGUAAAGUGUGCGCAGGCGGCCGAGCAAGUCGAGUGUGAAAGCCCCGAGCUUAACUUGGGAACUGCGCUCGAAACUACUUGGCUGGAGUGUGGCAGAGGAAGGUGGAAUUCCACGUGUAGCGGUGAAAUGCGUAGAGAUGUGGAGGAACACCGAUGGCGAAGGCAGCCCUUCGUGGGCCAACACAGA